CCUUUCAAAAAAUGCAAAUAAAUUUGUGUAAAGAUAGUGUGUGUGGGUUAUCCGUGCUAUAUAAGAAUUAAAGUGUUAUCAAAUGUCUUUCUUCAAAACGGUUGUUUUCGCUAGUGUCGUAUGGAAAUGUGCCGGAUAAAUAAUUAACAUAAUAUGUUUAAUGUUGGAACAAUUAUCUGAUUAAACAGUUGAGAAAGAACAAACAGUGGCGUCUAUUAAUGCGAAAUAUUAUUAUUUGGAAAUGUUAAUUGUUACAUGAAAAGCUGCGUGUUCUUGCGUACCAAUAGCAUCAAUGAGAUAGCCACUUGGGGUUGGUGGUGUGAUUUUGCUGUUUUCUAAGUGUGAAGCCCCAACCAGAGGUAAUAAUAAUGAGUGAAAGAAGAGGAAACUUACUUAGGCUUUGAUGACUGUUACAGCAGGAACAAUAAACAAAUAAUAAUGUAUUUUUUUAUUUAUUAAUGUCUUAUACAAAUAGUUGUUCAGCUGAAAAGCAUUAGCACAGUUUUUAUCAUAUGGGUGUAUGCUUGUUACAGUUAUGAACCUGUGGAGUUUGUAAUGCCAUGGAGACAGUUAUCAGUGGAUUGUCCCAUUGUACCAACUUUCUGAAAUUUGUAGGUAUAAUAUAAAAUGAGUCUGUGAAAAAACUUAAUUGGCUAUGUUUCACAACUCUUAUGAUGGAAAGAGGAAAGUUUAUUAUGCAUGUUUACAAACCCCUUUCUUUGAAACUAUUAAUAAUAAAUCACUACUUAAUAUUA